GAGAUUCCUCCUUUUGGAGUUUUCUACUGUGAGCCUAUGACACAGGAGCAAAGUAACCGUCUCCAACAUCCCCAGGGAAGAUCUACAUAAGAGACAUUUUCUAGAUGUGUCCAUUUGCUGCGGCACCUGAUUUUAGAAUUAUAUCAGCUUGUGAGCCUCCGAACAGAAACUUGGCAGAGAAGAUGGUGUUUUUCAGCAGCCAGAAAUAUUUGUUUCCCCUUACACAAUUUUCCCGGGUGGACUGAAUCCACCACUACACCCUAUUUUCUACCCUCCAAGAGGCCCAGGACAGAACUGAGAAAACUCACAUGUAUGCAAUGGGGUCAUGCAAUAGCUAGGGGAGCUCUGGGUGUAGACUGAAGGAAGAGAUGAGCAGAAACUGAACUACAGCUUUUCUGAGGCACUUCAGCAGCAAUCCUUCAUGAAAGCAUAAGCUGUUUUGAGCUGUGGCUUUCUGGUUGUGGAUCUAGUUUUUUUUUUUUUUUUUUUUGGUUUUUUUUUUUAGUUAUUAUUUUAUUAUUUUUGUGCAAGGGAAAUACCUUUGUGUGCUAAGCAAGCAUUGAAAAAAAAUAAUAGGUGCAAUUCUUAU